UACGAAGGGUGCAAACGUUGCUCGGAAUUAUUGGGCGUAAAGCGCACGUAGGCGGCUUGGCAAGUCGGAUGUGAAAUCCCUCGGCUCAACCAAGGAAGUGCAUCCGAAACUGCUGAGCUUGAGUACUUAAGAGGAUCGUGGAAUUCCCGGUGUAGAGGUGAAAUUCGUAGAUAUCGGGAGGAACACCAGUGGCGAAGGCGGCGAUCUGGGAAGAUACUGACGCUGAGGUGCGAAAGCGUGGGGAGCGAACAGG
rnacentral:rRNA from 1 species